AUUGAACGCUGGCGGCAGGCCUAACACAUGCAAGUCGAGCGGCAGCGGGAAAGUAGCUUGCUACUUUUGCCGGCGAGCGGCGGACGGGUGAGUAAUGCCUGGGGAUCUGCCCAGUCGAGGGGGAUAACUACUGGAAACGGUAGCUAAUACCGCAUACGCCCUACGGGGGAAAGCAGGGGACCUUCGGGCCUUGCGCGAUUGGAUGAACCCAGGUGGGAUUAGCUAGUUGGUGAGGUAAUGGCUCACCAAGGCGACGAUCCCUAGCUGGUCUGAGAGGAUGAUCAGCCACACUGGAACUGAGACACGGUCCAGACUCCUACGGGAGGCAGCAGUGGGGAAUAUUGCACAAUGGGGGAAACCCUGAUGCAGCCAUGCCGCGUGUGUGAAGAAGGCCUUCGGGUUGUAAAGCACUUUCAGCGAGGAGGAAAGGUUGGAAGCUAAUAACUGCCAGCUGUGACGUUACUCGCAGAAGAAGCACCGGCUAACUCCGUGCCAGCCGCCGCGGUAA
rnacentral:rRNA from 1 species